rnacentral:rRNA from 1 species
GACGAACGCUGGCGGCGUGCCUAAUACAUGCAAGUUGAGCGAUGAAGAUUGGUGCUUGCACCAAUUUGAAGAGCAGCGAACGGGUGAGUAACGCGUGGGGAAUCUGCCUUUGAGCGGGGGACAACAUUUGGAAACGAAUGCUAAUACCGCAUAACAACUUUAAACAUAAGUUUUAAGUUUGAAAGAUGCAAUUGCAUCACUCAAAGAUGAUCCCGCGUUGUAUUAGCUAGUUGGUGAGGUAAAGGCUCACCAAGGCGAUGAUACAUAGCCGACCUGAGAGGGUGAUCGGCCACAUUGGGACUGAGACACCGCCCCAACUCCUACGGGAGGCAGCAGUAGGGAAUCUUCGGCAAUGGACGAAAGUCUGACCGAGCAACGCCGCGUGAGUGAAGAAGGUUUUCGGAUCGUAAAACUCUGUUGGUAGAGAAGAACGUUGGUGAGAGUGGAAUGCUCAUCAAGUGACGGUAACUACCCAGAAAGGGACGGCUAACUACGUG